rnacentral:rRNA from 1 species
GACGUAGGGCGCGAGCGUUGUCCGGAUUUAUUGGGCGUAAAGAGCUCGUAGGCGGCUUGUCGCGUCGUUCGUGAAAACUUGGGGCUCAACCCCAAGCUUGCGGUCGAUACGGGCAGACGUAGAGUUCGGUAGGGGAGACUGGAAUUCCUGGUGUAGCGGUGAAAUGCGCAGAUAUCAGGAGGAACACCGGUGGCGAAGGCGGGUCUCUGGGCCGAAACUGACGCUGAGGAGCGAAAGCGUGGGGAGCGAACAGG